UCUAUCUCUCCCCGGUGGAAAAACAAAUAUACAGCCCAACUUCCCUUCUUCUUCAUUAUCUCUCUCUUUCCCCCAUGGAACUAAUAUCUUGCCCACCGUCCCUUCCUCUCCAUUAUCUCUCUCUCCUCAUGGAACUAUUUCACGGUCGUUUGUUCUCGCUAAUGUCUCUCCCCCAUAGAAAUCAAAGCCAUUAUCUCUCUCAAACUACUGCAAAGCAAACGGGGGCAUAGAUCUGAGAAAACAAAGAGGGGUCAUGGAUCUGGCGUGGUCAAGAGGCUUACUGCUUCAGAAUUGUUUUCGUGAUCUGGAUCAGCAACGUGGUUAAGUCCAUUAGAGAAAUGCCGGUUCAUGCUGAUGAUUGUCAAUGGAGCUUAGAUGUGGCUGUAGAAGUAUAAAAGGCUCCACGGAUGGCGUUCUUAUUGGUAGACUUUCGAUCUGCAUAAACGUGGCUAAGUCCAGGUUCAUGCUGAUGAUUGACAAUGGAGCUUACAUGUGGCUAUAGAAGCAUAAAAGGCUUGGUGAUCAGACAUGAUUGAUCAGAUGGGACACAAGUACAAGGAUGUAAGCACAUUGACUAAUUCAUGGAGGACGCACCAAAAAAGGCUGGCUAGCUAAUGGAUCGACCGGCCGGAAGAACGGAACACAUGCUGGCCGGCGAAUGCCCAUGUCCGGUCAAGACAAGGAACGCGAGAAAGGUCAUGGUGUAAUAUGACUUGCUGGAGCCAGGUUACAUUGCUGGACCAAGGAUAGAAUCCAACAAGAAAAAGUGAUAGAUGCCCCGGAAAAGAACAACUUUGAUUUGCAUAAAUCUCAGGUAUUGUCAUUUAGCCAAAUUGAUAUACUAAAGGUGGCCUUUUGUAGUUUACAUUCUACAAGAACGUUUGUGUUCAAUUAGUCUAUGAACAACAAAAUUUUUGUUUUGUUUUGCAUCCACAUAUAUAGGUAGAUCUUUAUAAUAAUUAUGAUUUAGAUCUGGCGUAAAUUAGCCAAAAAAUUAUAUAUUGAUACAAAUAUAUUUCUACUUCAAACUAUAUUUUAACAUGGUUUUUAAUGCUUAUUCGAAGUACAAGUAAAUCGAGGAAAUGCAUUAUAAACAAAAUUUUCUCACAGAAGUGUCAACUUUUAUGAAGUAUGUGAUUCAAUAUAGUAUCAUCUCUUUCAGUAUAGUAUUAUAAACAAGUAAUACGAUGUGUGUGUUAUGUAUCCAAAUCCAUCCGUGUCUGAGACAGUUGUGGUAAGUCUAUGCAUUGUUGUUAAAGAAAUAUUCUAGCAUUCCUAGCGUAAGAAAAGAACGAGGGUGAUUUGAAAAUUACAAACAAGAAAUUGUAUCAAAAAUAUGCAUGUGUUAUUUCGUCUUCGCUACCCAGAUUUUGCUGCAUCCAGCAUGUCAUCCGCAAAACGUGGUCAAUGGAUGCUAAACCAGAUAUGUAAAGCUGUUGUUUGCAAAACAUGAUGUAUACGAUAUUUUCUGUUUGUAACAAGUUAAUUUAUCAGUAUAUUUUGUUUGGCAUGAAACUUAUAGUUUUGUUGUUGUACUCUAUAAUUUAAGCAUUGUCUUGCUUAACUAGAAUAAUAUUUUGCUGUUUGGUAGUA